UCAUCUCAAAAUAUUCACGUUUUCACAUAAAAUCACAUUUUGAAAGAAAAGCCCACCUCGUUUGCUUAAACUCUUUCAAACGGGCACUUCCUGACUUGAGAUUAUCAAAUCCCUAAUUGGAAAUCCGCCGCUCCUCUCGACUCGCCGGUCGCCGACGGAACCUCUCGGCGUCUCCUUCUCGGCAUAUCACUACUCCGGUCGGCGCCCCCUCCACGCCAUCGAAGCUUGCCCCUUCUUCCUCCUUCUUCUUUGACGAAAACGCCGCUCCAUCUGGACAUCGGAGCGUCACCGGCUCCAGCUCCUCAGCAUCACGGAGUCGCCGACGGCUCGUACCAGAAAUCUCGGCCUCCGUAUAUCUCUCUCUCUUUUCUGGGCAGAACACGCCUCCCUCGUUUUUCUCUGGUGACUUCACGCUCGGAGUGACCCUUUUAGUGGUCAACCGACGCUGUUCUCUGCUCGGCCAGACAGCCCCCUUCAGCCGCUCCAACCUCCGUCGCCUCGUGCAGCUAUCCUCGGGGUGCCGCCGUCGCCGGCUCUCUGUGCUAGGGAGUUCCUCCGUCGGACGCCCCCCCCUAGACCAAGCUAAGCCCCCUAUCUAAAUUGCUACUUAUUUUUUUAAAGCUUGAGUCUUAAGUUGAAGGGGUUAUUGUUCUGUAAAUUUUAGGACGCUUCGUUUGUGCUAACAGUACUCUAUGAGGAGCGGGGCUGCUUCCUCUAGUCGGAGCCGCCGAGAAGCUGUCCUCAACGGACCUAUGCCCCUGAGAUAAGUUUCACAACUUGUGUCGCCUGUAUUUUACUCUUGACGUGGGUUUUAAGUUCUUGAGCUACUAGUCAUCUGUUUGGUGGAGUUUUGGGGCUCUAAUGUGUUUACUUGUUUCCUCUUGUUGUGAUAUCAUGUGACCAUGUGCUGAGAUGUGGAUAGUUACAUUUUCCUACAUCUUGAGCAUGCUAUGUGUUGUCUAGAGACCUAGUAUGCUGUGCUUAAGUUCUCUUCCAUGAAUAUGUGUAAUAUGAUCUAUCACAUUGGGAGGAUGUUGGUUACCUAUUGAAAAACGAGGCUGUGAGGGGUUGUGGACAAUCUGGCCGAGCUUCCACGCUUCCUGGUUUGCUAUGUUGCUGAAGCUUCACUGAUAUGUGGGGGAAAUUAGGUGAGCAUGGAGGGGUUCUUUUAUAGAGGGGAAUGUACUCAUGGGGUCUAAUCUAGCUGUUGAAUUACUGAUACAUAUGCAGCUCCUUUACCGUAUUUGGCACCUUGUGCUGCCUUGUACCUUGAUUCAUUCAUGGCUCUUGUUUUUGUUGUGGCAGGUGCACAAGAAUGGACAGGAGCUGUUCUCUGCGAAACUGCAAAGUUGUUGCAGCUGUACCCCCUUUUUUUUUGCCCUUGGCAGUGUACCUCAGCCCCUCUAUCUCUUGCUGCACUCACUGCAUUGUUGUGUGAUUCUUGCAGGUAUAAUCGGGAACGGGGCUGUUGAACUGAGGUGUAAGUUUUGGUCUUCAUCCAUUAAAGGUAAAGGGUUGAUCCUCUAUGGUUAACAACAUGUUGCCUCGGCCCAACUGCCGUCGACAAUCGUGCCGUGAAACGAGGCUAAGGAGAAGGGGUCGAGCUUAGAUUUUCUAAUCUGUAAUAGAGUAGUAUUUUCCUCUUUUCCUUCUCGAUAUGUAUGUAAUGUCUCUUAUAGCUAAUGUAUUCCUUUUCUUUUAUUUUCAUUGUCAAGCAUUUGUAAACUUAGACUUAGCUUGAAACUUGUGUACUCUGUUUACUUAAGAAAUCAACGAAUACUCUUUCGUUCUCA